GAUGUUAGCUCAGCGGUUAGAGCAGAGGACUCAUAAUCCUUUGGUCCCCGGUUCAAAUCCAGGA
rnacentral:tRNA from 1 species